GCUUUAUCGCAGACGAGCUGGAAGCGAUAGAAAUUCCAUUAUUUUUGCAUGACAUUGGGCACAAUGAGCAACGAAGAAUGGUUCCAAAAAUAGACAAUUUUGUGGAGGAUGUUGUCCCUCUCUACAGUCUCUCAGAAUUUAGAGGUCAUUUCAGGCUUUCCAAAGAACAAGUGGAGGUAGUGAGACAUGGAAUAGGAGGUUGGAGGAGCUUUGCAGCACAAGCUGGGCCACUGAGGAGAGCUGGUUGGAGAGAAGAUUGUAGAUGUGCUGAUACUUGCUCCAUGACAGAAGAAAGGAACAUUUGAUCUGGGGGAAUAAAUGAUAAAUAAAACACUUGCG